UACAGAGGUCUCAAGCGUUGUUCGGAUUCAUUGGGCGUAAAGGGUGUCGUAGGCGGCGCCGGUAAGUCGGGGUGUGAAAUUCGUGACUUAACUCCGAAACUGCAUUCGAUACUGCCGUGCUUGAGGACUGGAGAGGAGACUGGAAUUUAUGGUGUAGCGGUGAAAUGCGUAGAGAUCGAUGAGGAAGACCAGUGGCGAAGGCGGGUCUCUGGACAGUUCCUGACGCUGAGACAGAAGGCCAGGGGAGCAAACGGG
rnacentral:rRNA from 1 species